rnacentral:tRNA from 1 species
GCCAAGCGGUAAGGCAGCAGGUUUUGAUCCUGCCAUGCGUUGGUUCGAAUCCAGCCGCCCCUGCCA